rnacentral:rRNA from 1 species
GACAGAGGGGGCAAGCGUUGCUCGGAAUUACUGGGCGUAAAGGGCGCGUAGGCGGGAUGGCAAGUCGGUCGUGAAAUCCCUCGGCUCAACUGAGGUACGUCGAUCGAUACUGCCGUUCUUGAGGGUUGCAGAGGAGACUGGAAUUCCCGGUGUAGCGGUGAAAUGUGUAGAGAUCGGGGAGGAACACCGGUGGCGAAGGCGGGUCUCUGGGCAACUC